GCGCCGCCCGGUGCGGGGGCUGCGCGCGUCCGGCGCCUCCCGCGGAAAUCGCCGCUUUUGGACAUUUGCUGAUCUCAUCUGUGCAUGCACAAGACCACCGGGAAUGUGGAGAGACAUCUGGGGAAAUAGAGACACUGCAGAGGAAAAUCUUGCCUGCUUUUCUCAGUGUAUCCCUUCAGUGGAAGUUUUAUGUGCAUAAGACAAUAAAAGGAGCCCGUGGUGAUUAGUCCUGAUCCAGUUCUUUUGCAGAGCAGACUUCUACAUCUGGACAUCCAUGCAGCAUUUUUCUUUUCUCAUGGAGAUUAAAAAAAAAAAAAGAAGAAAAAUAAAUUGUUAUAUAAUCAUGAGGAAAGGAAGCAAGUGAGCCUCAAAAUCUUCAAGAUACAAAAAUUAUUUUAAACCAUUAAUUUUCUAUACCAGCUUUGGAGUUGAACACUGAAGUGCCUCAAGGUGCAAGACCUCAGUCCCACUUAUGUAAAACAGCUUUUAGAUUAAGUCUGCUGGACAGCUUUUAAUCAUGGUUACUCUUCUCUCCUAUUCUAUCAUUUUCAUCAGAGACAUCAUGUCUAACAGGGCAACAUUGUGUGGCCUAACAAGUAGAAGGUAAGUUAAUUGUAAGAGCAGAAACAAAAGGAUAACAACAGAAAAAAAAAAGAGGAUAAAAUAAAUAUUCUGACUUUUUUUAUUAUACCUUCAGCUUUAGAGUUGUUACAAAUCACCCAACUCUGACUACACAAAUAUUAUAAUAACUACAGAGAUUCUCAUUAUUUUAUAUCUUUAGUGACAGCAGAAUCAUAACUAUUUAACAGAUGACUUUAUACUGACCCACGGGUACUAAAAAAGAAAUCUUCAGGCCAACACCGUUCCCUAUUUUGGUAAGGAUAUUGUGCAAUUAAGGAAAGAGCUAUAUUUUAUUAUUUUUGGCACAGAGGCCAUUUCUUUGGUAAUGACUACCUGUUCCUUUUUAUCUUUUUCAUACAUGCUACAUUACAGCAACUACAGCCACAUGUGCCUACACUGGAGGAACACCUGUCCAAUCUACACUAAAAGGAAAAGAAAUCAAAGUGUAGCAUAUUUACUGAUUCUCUGUACACAAAAAAGUGAAAAAAAUUAUGGAGAAAUGGAAAAAAAGGUUAAAUUUAACAUGAUCAAGAGGAGAGAUAGUAGAGGAGAAUGGUCCUGAUCCUUUAGAAACAGCUUUUGCAGAAGACAGACAGCAGAUAGAUCUAAAAAUGUUCUUCUUUCAGAGAUAGAAUUCAUUCACUAAUUGUGUAUCCACUGAGGUAGCAGUUUGCAGGAACAGGUUUGUUCUUCCACAUUCCACAUUCCACAUUGCAAGGCAGCAAAUAAAAUGUUAUUGUGGUGGACCUCUAUAAACUUAUUCAUCUGCCCAAAGGGGUAGUCUGUUUCUGAAGUUCCAAAGAAAAUUUUCUGCUGCUUAUACUAACUGUAUGUACUAACUUAUACUUUCUGAAAUUAUUUUCCUUACCUUGCUUGA